rnacentral:rRNA from 1 species
UACGUAGGGUGCGAGCGUUGUCCGGAAUUAUUGGGCGUAAAGAGCUCGUAGGCGGUCUGUCGCGUCGGAUGUGAAAAUCAGGGCUCAACCCUGGACCUGCAUUCGAUACGGGCAGACUAGAGUUCGGCAGGGGAGACUGGAAUUCCUGGUGUAGCGGUGAAAUUCGUAGAUAUCAAGCGGAACACCGGUGGCGAAGGCGGCCUUCUGGACAGUGACUGA